CGUUGUUCGGAAUUACUGGGCGUAAAGGGCGCGUAGGCGGUACUUCAAGUCAGGCGUGAAAGCCCCGGGCUCAACCUGGGAACCGCGCUUGAGACUGGAGAACUAGAGUUCGGGAGAGGAUGGUGGAAUUCCCAGUGUAGAGGUGAAAUUCGUAGAUAUUGGGAAGAACACCGAUGGCGAAGGCAGCCAUCUGGACCGACACUGACGCUGAGGCGCGAAAGCGUGGGGAGCAAACAGGAUUAGAUACCCUGGUAGUCAAGGGCG
rnacentral:rRNA from 1 species